GGGCCCGCACAAGCGGUGGAGUAUGUGGUUUAAUUCGAUGCAACGCGAAGAACCUUACCAGGGUUUGACAUCCUGCGAAUCUCUUGGAAACAGGAGAGUGCCUUCGGGAACGCAGUGACAGGUGGUGCAUGGCUGUCGUCAGCUCGUGUCGUGAGAUGUUGGGUUAAGUCCCGCAACGAGCGCAACCCACGUCUUUAGUUGCCAGCAUUUAGUUGGGCACUCUAGAGAGACUGCCGGUGAUAAACCGGAGGAAGGUGUGGAUGACGUCAAGUCAUCAUGCCCCUUACAUCCUGGGCUACACACGUACUACAAUGGUAGGUACAGAAAGCAGCCACUUGGUGACAAGGAGCUAAUCUCUAAAGCCUAUCUCAGUUCGGAUUGGAGUCUGCAACUCGACUCCAUGAAGCUGGAAUCGCUAGUAAUCG
rnacentral:rRNA from 1 species